GGAGUUUUAUAGUACCUAACUUUUUUUCUGAUUGGAUGUUUUUCCUUGUUGCUGUGGAGUUCUAGUAAAGAGAGACUUAAGCAAAUACUCGCCUCCUGUCAUUAAUAAAAUUAAGAUUAUAGGUACACUAAAGCUAGCAUAAUCUACAAUUGUAUCACAGGCAGAGGGGAGGAUUUUGUGUGGGAGUGUCUGAGUGUAUUGUACAUGUUUAUUGGUUGUAUUUCAAAACCCUGUGGUCAGUACUAUGUUUGUAGAAUGUGAAUAAAAGAUGGACCCAAGAUGUGGCUUGCAGGAGCUCUGCACAAUAUGAACCCAAGAUGAGGCUUGCAAGAGCACUGCACAAUAUGAACCCAAGAUGAGGAUUGCAAGAGCUCUG